GAUGAACGCUAGCGGCAGGCUUAAUACAUGCAAGUCGUGGGGCAGCAGGUUUGUAGCAAUACAGAUGCUGGCGACCGGCAAACGGGUGCGGAACACGUACAGAACCUUCCUUUGAGCGGGGAAUAGCCCAGAGAAAUUUGGAUUAAUACCCCAUAGUAUAAUGAAGUGGCAUCACUUUAUUAUUAAAGAUUUAUCACUCGAAGAUGGCUGUGCGGCUGAUUAGGUAGUUGGCGGGGUAAAGGGCCCACCAAGCCUGCGAUCAGUAACUGGUGUGAGAGCACGACCAGUCACACGGGCACUGAGACACGGGCCCGACUCCUACGGGGAGGCAGCAAGUAAGGAAUUAGUUGGUACAAGUAGGGAGGACAACUCUACGAACCACGCCAUCGCCGCGGUGGGAGGAGUAGGAACGGUCCUCGU
rnacentral:rRNA from 1 species